UACGGGGGGGCAAGCGUUGUUCGGAAUUACUGGGCGUAAAGGGCUCGUAGGCGGCCAACUAAGUCAGACGUGAAAUCCCUCGGCUUAACCGGGGAACUGCGUCUGAUACUGGAUGGCUCGAGUUUGGGAGAGGGAUGCGGAAUUCCAGGUGUAGCGGUGAAAUGCGUAGAUAUCUGGAGGAACACCGGUGGCGAAGGCGGCAUCCUGGACCAACACUGACGCUGAUGAGCGAAAGCCAGGGGAGCAAAGCGGG
rnacentral:rRNA from 1 species